rnacentral:lncRNA from 1 species
CUGACAUAUGGCUCAAUGCAACAAGCAACCAAACCCAAAGCUAUUUGGCAGUGACCUACACAUUUGCUGAAAGAAGAGCUGGGGCCUGAGGGCACAGCUCAAAUCUAGCUUGUCUCAAUGGGAAAAGGCACUUCCCCUUUCUCUUUUACGGUCUUGUGCUAUUUCCCCAAGACACAGAACCAAUUUGCACUGGGAAGUUCGUACUAAUGCAAAGCAAGAUGAGACAGCGGCUGAGAUCUCCCCCGUGACAGGGCUGCAAUGAUGCAAGCACAGGAAGCAGCCAGGAACUUUGCAGGGGUUGGGAGAACUGAAGUUAAACUCUGCAGUCCAGCUGUUCCACUUGGCUAACCCAGCUUUAUGACAACUAUGACACCUACUGCCAUCAAGGGAGCUACAACUUCAUUAAAAGUGG